GACGAACGCUGGCGGCGGGCUUAACACAUGCAAGUCGAACGGAAAGGCCCUGCUUUUGUGGGGUGCUCGAGUGGCGAACGGGUGAGUAACACGUGUGUAACCUGCCCUUGACUUUGGGAUAACUUCAGGAAACUGGGGCUAAUACCGGAUAGGAGCUCCUGUUGCAUGGUGGGGGGUGGAAAGUUUCGGCGGUUGGGGAUGGACUCGCGGCUGAUCAGCUUGUUGGUGGGGUAGUGGCUUACCAAGGCUUUGACGGGUAGCCGGCCUGAGAGGGUGACCGGCCACAUUGGGCCUGAGAUACGGCCCAGACUCCUACGGGAGGCAGCAGUGGGGAAUAUUGCACAAUGGGCGGAAGCCUGAUGCAGCAACGCCGCGUGCGGGAUGACGGCCUUCGGGUUGUAAACCGCUUUCGCCUGUGACGAAGCGUGAGUGACGGUAAUGGGUAAAGAAGCACCGGCUAACUACGUG
rnacentral:rRNA from 1 species